AAUUUCAAAACUAAAUUUUUAAUAAUUGAGUCACUAUUUCGUUUAGUACAGAGCAAGUUGUCGUUGACUGCAACCUACCAUCAUGGACAAAUCUUCAACAUGUCCUGCAGUCAGAACAGCAAUGGUGGCUCACACAAAUUAUUGAAAAUUGAUUUUGAAAUUGACAAGACGGAAGAUCAUAAAAAAAAUUAAGA